UAUACUAUACUAUAAACCUGGCCAGCUCUAGACAUGGCCUCUGUUCUCUAGAAGAACAAGUUCUGGGGACCCAGACUGCACACCUGGGAAUAAAGUGCAUAGCAGCGUUCAGAAGCCUCCUGUCACUGAGGGGCUGAGGAAGGAGCUGUGGACAAUCCAGGACCCACAAAGCGCCCCAGGGCUGGCCACCAAACUCUUUGGAAACCAAAACGCAGCUGAAGAGUGGUGCUGAAAACCGUGUCUUCUACCCUGGAACAAGGAGACCUCUGAUCAGCUUUUUCUAUAGACUUCCAUCCCCAGGGACUGGACCAGGAGGCCAGGAGGGACAUGGCCCCAAGGGAGCAGCAGAAAAGUAUUUCUAAAAUCAUCCUCCAGUAGAAAUACAAUGCAUGUCACAGGUGCAAUUUAAAACUUUCUAGCUCCAUUAAAAUAGUAAAAAGAAAUAAGUGAAACUAGUUUUAAUAAUAUAUUGCAUUUAACCCAGUAUAACCAAAAUAUUACCAUUUCAAUGUGUAAACAAUAUAAAGAAAUUAUUCAUGAGAUAUUUUACAUUCUAGUUUUGUGCUAAGGCUGAAAUCAGGGAUGCAUGUACACUU